GACGAACGCUGGCGGCGUGCUUAACACAUGCAAGUCGAACGGAAAGGCCCUGCUUUUGUGGGGUGCUCGAGUGGCGAACGGGUGAGUAACACGUGAGUAACCUGCCCUUGACUUUGGGAUAACUUCAGGAAACUGGGGCUAAUACCGGAUAGGAGCUCCUGCCGCAUGGUGGGGGUUGGAAAGUUUCGGCGGUUGGGGAUGGACUUGCGGCUUAUCAGCUUGUUGGUGGGGUAGUGGCUUACCAAGGCUUUGACGGGUAGCCGGCCUGAGAGGGUGACCGGCCACAUUGGGACUGAGAUACGGCCCAGACUCCUACGGGAGGCAGCAGUGGGGAAUAUUGCACAAUGGGCGGAAGCCUGAUGCAGCAACGCCGCGUGCGGGAUGACGGCCUUCGGGUUGUAAACCGCUUUCGCCUGUGACGAAGCGUGAGUGACGGUAAUGGGUAAAGAAGCACCGGCUAACUACGUG
rnacentral:rRNA from 1 species